AUGAAAAUUUUCAUAUAUUUUAUCACCACAGCUUGUAGGGAAGAAAAUUUUCUUUGGUUUUUUUAUAUUUCGUCACUGCCAACCGAAUGACUUUAAAAGAAAUGAAAUCCUUUGUUUUUGCUUCAAACUGAAUAGAGUUGGGCAUGAUGAUUAAAAAAAAGUUAGUGAAAAUGAUUGAAAAAACUAUUAUGACUGGUUAAUAAAAAAUAUAUGUGAGAAAAUUAAAUAAAAUUGGUUAUGAUUGGUUAAAACAAUGAGGUAGGUGAACAAAUAGCUAGCUUUUAUUUUGAAAACUUUAUUGAAAAAGGGUUGACGGUAGGAAUAACUUCAUUUUGCAAAAGAAAUUAGUAUGUUCAGUCUCUGCGCUAACUGACACGUAAAAAAAUGAGAUGCUAAAGUUAAUAAUGAAAAAAGAGGUUAUAGGACAAACGCAUCUCCCCAUCUCCCAUUACUACGUAGGACCACAAGUAGUUGGUACGUAGGCAACGGAAACAUUUAAAGUCAGUGGCCAUGUUCUUCUUCAACCAAGAUAAAAGACACAGAAUUAGGGCAUGUAUAACUAUUCAGAUGACUGCUGUCUAUAAAAUAUACCACAUCACAAAUAAAGACGGCAAAAAGACAUAUAAUACAAUGGUGGUUGAUUAGUCGUUGGCGUGCUCCACUUGCCAACGCCUGCACCAUCGCUGUCACCAUCCAUCCCGCCAGCGCAAGGCAGCACAAAGCUCUCGAGUUGUCCCGUAGAUAAACGAGACGAUGGCAGGCAGCAGCCUCUUUCUUCAUUUAAUAAGGGCCACAUCAUCCGAAUUUGCUGAGGUGUACUCAAAUAGACGGUUGCUGGCUGUCUUAUCUGAUUUUUAUAGUUAUUUAAUAUUAUAAAUAUUAGAAUUAACUAGUAAAAAAUUAAAAAUCUAUUUAAUAAAGCUAAGAUGAAGAACUUAUAGAAUUGUUUUUGCAAAAGAAUACUGUUUUGUAUUGUGAAAAGUGUGCAAGAAAAAAGUCUAAGAAUAAUCAGGAGAAAAACAACAUAGCCAGCUAGUGUGAUCGAAUGAACAAAUUUGAACGAUUUAUCUAUUUUAGACGAAUCUAAAUGUAAAGUUGAAGCUGCACAUUACCCUAGGCCAGUCGUUCGUUACGUCAGGCUUAAAUUACGAACGACUGGAUCGAUCGGUUCAUGCAUUAUUCGGAGCAGUGCGGACCAUACGCGAACGUUAGUAUAAGAGGCUCCGUUUAGUUCUAAAAGUUUUUUCUAUAAACAUCACAUUGAAUCUUUAGAUACGUAAAUAAAGCAUUAAAUAUGAGCAAUUUUAUCAUUCUUAAGGAGAUAUCACUGUUUUCUAUGUAAAAUUUGGUACCUUUUGGUAUCUUAGGUAUUAGAAGGUACCUACAAGGUACCAAAUUUUAGAUAGAAAAGAGUGAUACCUCAUGGUACCUUCUCAAGGAUAGGAAAAAAGCUCAUUAAAUAUACAUGAAUAUUAAAAUUAGUUACACAGUUAUAAGAAAAAUCGUGACACGAAUCUUUUGCGCCUAAUUAGUACAUGAUUAGCCAUAAGUGCUACAUUAAUCAACAUGUGCUAACGUAUUGCGGUUUCCAGGUGGAGUCUGAAAUUUGUUUUGUAAUUAGACUAGACUAUAUUUAAUACUUCAAAUAUGUGACCGUAAGCGUCGUUAUGACCUCUCUCCUAAAAAAUUUUGGGAACUGAACGUAACCUAAGUACUGGCUUGACUCUGUAUUUUAAUAGGUUGAUGACAUUUAACAUACGAUUUGAUUAUUCAUCUUAUUUAAAAAUUUUGUGCAAAUAUAUGAAAAAUUAAGUUAUAGUAAAAAUAUAUUUAAUAAAUAUGAUAAUAAUAAAAUAAAUAAUAUAUACAAUGAUAAUAAAAUAAAUAAUAAUUAAGUACAUUUUUUAAAAUGAAUGAUUAAACAUAUG
rnacentral:lncRNA from 1 species